UACGGGGGGAGCAAGCGUUGUUCGGAUUUACUGGGCGUAAAGAGCGCGUAGGCGGAAGCUUAAGUGUGGACCUGAAAGACCCCGGCUCAACCGGGGAGUGGGGCUGCAAACUGGGGUUCUUGAGGGGGAUAGAGGAGAGUGGAAUUCCUGGUGUAGCGGUGAAAAUGCGUAGAGAUCAGGAGGAACACCCGUGGCGAAGGCGGCUCUCGUGGGUCCGCCCUGACGCUGGGAGGCGAAGCCGGGAAAGCCAAGGGCGGGACUAAACAACCGGGAUAGA
rnacentral:rRNA from 1 species